GGGGGUGUUUGGUUUUGACAGCAUAGGUCUUUGAAAGUAUAAGCAUGCAGUGCGUUGGAUAAUUAGCACUUUAAUCUGAAUAUUCAAAACAAUAAAUGGCAAUACUCAGUAUGCCAUGGCUGCCUAAUCAGUGAUUAAGUAGUCAUUAGGGCCGCCGCGCAGGUUGGCUUGUAACCAAGCGCCGCCGCCGACAUUAAACAAAUACAGGCUGCUGCAACAGAAGGCUGUGACUGUUUGCUUAAGAUCAUCCAGCUAAGAGGAGAAUUGGUUUGUUCUGUUCCGGUUCUUUUCCGACAAUUAAUUCAGAAAUAAGCAUGUAGAAGGCUUUCGAAAAUCAUGUUUGGACACCGGUUCGAUUCCGGUCACCUCCACAA
rnacentral:tmRNA from 1 species